GAGAGGGAGCAUGAGAAACGGCUACCACAUCUAAGGAAGGCAGCAGGCGCGUAAGUUACCCAAUCCUGACUCAGGGAGGUAGUGACAAGAAAUAGCAAACCGGGAACCUCAUGGUUUCACGGUAUUGCAAUGAGAACAAUUUAAAACCCUUAGCGAGAAUCAAGUGGAGGACAAGUCUGGUGCCAGCACCCGCGGUAAUUCCAGCUCCACUAGCGUAUAUUAAAGUUGUUGCAGUUAAAAAGCUCGUAGUUGAACCUCUGUCUGGGGCUAGUUUUGGCUUUGGUCAGGCUAGUUCUAGGCAUCCGCCUACAAGACUUAGAGGGCAUUCAGUUGUUCACUAGGAGGAGUAGGCAUUUUACUUUGAAAAAAUUAGAGUGUUUAAGGCAGGCAAUCGCCCGCAUAUAUUAGCAUGGAAUAAUAGAAUAGGACACUUUUCCAUUUCGUUGGUUAUUGGAAUCGUGUAAUGAUUAAUAGGGACAGUUGUGGGCAUUUGUAUUUAAUUGUCAGAGGUGAAAUUCUUGGAUUUAUUAAAGACAAACUAACGCGAAAGCAUUUGCCAAGGAUGUUUUCAUUAAUCAAGAACGAAAGUUAGGGGAUCAAAGACGAUCAGAUACCGUCCUAGUCUUAACUAUAAACUAUUCCGACUCAAUGUUUGACUGGCUUAUAUAACCAGUUGAGCGUUGUAUGAGAAAUCAAAGUCUUUAGGUUCUGGGGGGAGUAUGGUUGCAAAGCUGAAACUUAAAGGAAUUGACGGAAGAGCACAACCAGGAGUGGAUUCUGCGGCUUAAUUUGACUCAACACGGGGAAACUUACCAGGUUAAAACAAUAGUGGGAUUGACAGUUUGAGAGCGCUUUCUUGAUAGGUUGGGUGGUGGUGCAUGGCCGUUCUUAGUUGGUGGAGUGAUUUGUCUGCUUAAUUGCGUUAGCGAACGAGACCUUAACCUGCUUACUAGACUGGCGAUCAUCAAUCGUUAGCUCUUCUUAGAGGGACUUUGGUUGUUUUAACUCCAAGGAAGUUUGAGGCAAUAACAGGUCUGUGAUGCCCUUAGAUAUCCUGGGCCGCACGCGUCAUACAAUGACUAGUUCAGAAAGUUUUCUCCUGACCCGAAAGGGGAUGGGUAAUCUUGAUAAUACUAGUCGUGUUAGGGAUCGAUCUUUGCAAUUAUAGAUCUUGAACGAGGAAUUCCUAGUAAGUGCGGUUCAUCAGACCGUACUGAUUACGUCCCUGCUCUUUGUACACACCGCCCGUCGCUUCUACCGAGUGGGUGGUCCGGUGAGAUAAUUGAACUUCGCAGGUAACUGAGAGGAAAGAGU
rnacentral:rRNA from 1 species